rnacentral:rRNA from 1 species
GAUUAACGCUAGCGGCAGGCCUAAUACAUGCAAGUCGAACGGCAAGAUUUGUAGCAAUACGAGUCCUAGAGUAGCGUAAGGGUGCGUAACACGUAUGCAAUCUACCCGCAACAGGAGGAUAGCUCUUCGAAAGAGGAAUUAAGACUCCAUAAUACCAUUUGAGGGCAUCUGAGGAUGGUUAAACUACAAGGGGUUGUGGAUGAGCAUGCGUCUGAUUAGUUAGUUGGCGGGGUAACGGCCCACCAAGACGAUGAUCAGUAGGGGAACUGAGAGGUUGGUCCCCCACACUGGCACUGAGAUACGGGCCAGACUCCUACGGGAGGCAGCAGUAGGGAAUAUUGGACAAUGGGUGCAAGCCUGAUCCAGCCAUGCCGCGUGCAGGAAGACGGCCUUCU